UACAGAGGUCCCAAGCGUUGUUCGGAUUCACUGGGCGUAAAGGGUGCGUAGGCGGUCGGGUAAGUCUGAUGUGAAAUCUCACAGCCUAACUGUGAAACUGCAUUGGAUACUAUCCGGCUCGAGGAAUGGAGGGGAGACUGGAAUACGUGGUGUAGCAGUGAAAUGCGUAGAUAUCAAGUGGAACACCAGUGGCGAAGGCGAGUCUCUGGACAUUUCCUGACGCUGAGGCACGAAAGCCAGGGGAGCAAACGGG
rnacentral:rRNA from 1 species